rnacentral:rRNA from 1 species
GACGAGUGCCCCAAGCGUUAUCCGGAAUCACUGGGCGUAAGGGUUCGUAGGCGGCUUUGUUAGUCUUCUGUAAAAGUCCGGGGCCUAACCUCGGUUCUGCGGGGGAAACGGCAAAGCUUGAGAGCACAAGAGGUACAUGGAACUCACGGUGUAGGGGUGAAAUCCGUUGAUAUCGUGGGGAACACCAAAGGCGAAGGCAGUGUACUGGUGUGUUUCUGACGCUGAUGAACGAAAGCCAGGGGAGCGAAUGGG